AACGAACGCUGGCGGCAUGCCUAACACAUGCAAGUCGAACGAUUGCCUUCGGGUGAUAGUGGCGCACGGGUGCGUAACGCGUGGGAAUCUGCCCUUAGGUUCGGAAUAACAGCUGGAAACGGCUGCUAAUACCGGAUGAUAUCGCGAGAUCAAAGAUUUAUCGCCUGAGGAUGAGCCCGCGUUGGAUUAGGUAGUUGGUGGGGUAAAGGCCUACCAGGCCGACGAUCCAUAGCUGGUCUGAGAGGAUGAUCAGCCAUACUGGGACUGAGACACGGCCCAGACUCCUACGGGAGGCAGCAGUGGGGAAUAUUGGACAAUGGGCGCAAGCCUGAUCCAGCAAUGCCGCGUGAGUGAUGAAGGCCCUAGGGUUGUAAAGCUCUUUUACCCGGGAAGAUAAUGACUGUACCGGGAGAAUAAGCCCCGGCUAACUCCGUG
rnacentral:rRNA from 1 species